ACAAGACAACUGUAUCGUAUUUAGGAAUGUAAAUGCAGGGGGAUUUGCUAAGCAAAGUUGGUUUAUAAAACAAUUAAAAUUAAAAGUGAUGAUUGCAAACAAUUAAAAAGAUGAUUAGAAUUUUCGAUUCACUUCCUCUUCAUGAUUUGGUAAAUGCGGUCCUAAGCUACCUUUUCACUCUUAUUGUCACGAUGAAUUAACUAAAUAGUUCAGACCAGUGUUAAUGACUAAGAACCCUUUUCCAUAAAAAUAAUUUCCUAAUGUCUUAGGUCAAUUCAAAUUCAUCGAAAGAUUUAUGCUCGUUAAUUC
rnacentral:lncRNA from 1 species